rnacentral:rRNA from 1 species
GACGAACGCUGGCGGCGUGCUUAACACAUGCAAGUCGAACGUGAUUUUUGUGGAAAUUCUUUCGGGAAUGGAAAUGAAAUGAAAGUGGCGAACGGGUGAGUAACACGUGAGCAACCUACCUUACACAGGGGGAUAGCCGUUGGAAACGACGAUUAAUACCGCAUGAGACCACAGAAUCGCAUGAUAUAGGGGUCAAAGAUUUAUCGGUGUAAGAAGGGCUCGCGUCUGAUUAGCUAGUUGGAAGGGUAAAGGCCUACCAAGGCGACGAUCAGUAGCCGGUCUGAGAGGAUGAACGGCCACAUUGGAACUGAGACACAGUCCAAACUCCUACGGGAGGCAGCAGUGGGGAAUAUUGCACAAUGGGGGGAACCCUGAUGCAGCGACGCCGCGUGAGCGAAGAAGGUGUUCGAAUCGUAAAGCUCUGUCCUAUGAGAAGAUAAUGACGGUAUCAUAGGAGGAAGCCCCGGCUAAAUACGUG